rnacentral:rRNA from 1 species
UUUUUUUUUUAAGGGAAUUUUGUGGACUCCCGGUGUAUCUCCCGCACUGGUUCGAUACCAGGGGGAUUUCCCCCCUAUAUGGUUAAAAAUUUUCGCGCGGGGAGAAGCAAAUCCUCACAAGGACAUUUUGUGUUUUUUUAAACCCCCCCCUUUUCCGGAAAAGUUUCCCGGAAAUUUUUUUUUGGGCACCCCAAAGGGGGACGCCCGGGGGAGGGAAAUUUUUCCCCCCCCCCCCCGAAAAAAAUGGUUUUUUUUUUUUUGAGGGGGGGCCAACGAUGGGGUCACCCCCGGCGAAUUUUCCCGCCCUAAAAAGGAUUGGGGGCAAACUAAGUUUUAAAAAUUGAUGGUUUCCGGGAUUUUGCAAAUUCCCCCCCAUGUUGCCAAUCUGUAAGUAAAAAAAAAGUGUACAAGGUUUCCGUAGGGGAACCUGCGGAAGGAUCAUUG